rnacentral:sRNA from 1 species
UCAUUCGUUUCAAAGCCCACCUGGGGAAC